rnacentral:rRNA from 1 species
CCUACGGGUGGCAGCAGUGGGGAAUAUUGGGCAAUGGAGGCAACUCUGACCCAGCAACGUCGCGUGAGUGAUGAAGGUCUUCGGAUUGUAAAGUUCUUUUUUAAGGGAAGAAGAAAUUGACGGUACCUUAGGAAUAAGCAUCGGCUAACUACGGGCCAGCAGCCGAGGUAAUACGUAGGAGGCAAGCGUUACCCGGAAGGAAUGGGCGUAAAGGGUGCGUAGGUGGUUUGACAAGUUCGUAGCGCAACUCCCGAGCUCAACUUCGGAACUACUACUAAAACUGGUGGACUUGAGUGCAUGAGAGGCAAUCGGAAUUCCUGGUGUAGCGGUGGAAUGCGUAGAUAUUAGGAGGAACACCAGUUGCGAAGGCGGAUUGCUAGAGUGUAACUGACACUGAGGCACGAAAGCGUGGGGAUCAAACAGGAUUAGAUACCCUAGUAGUC